rnacentral:ncRNA from 1 species
AGCUAGAGGAUGGUUAGGGAAAACGGAAUUCCACGUGUAGCGGUGAAAUGCGUAGAUAUGUGGAAGAACACCGGUGGUGAAGACGGUUUUCUGGGCCAAACCUGACGCUGAGGCGCGAAAGCUAGGGGAGCAAACAGGAUUAGAUACCCUGGUAGUCCUAGCCUUAAACGAUGCAUACUAGAUGUAGGCGGGCUCAACCCUGUCUGUAUCGGAGCUAACGCAUUAAGUAUGCCGCCUGGGGAGUACGCUCGCAAGGGUGAAACUCAAAAGAAUUGACGGGGGCCCGCACAAGCAGUGGAGCAUGUGGUUUAAUUCGAUGCAACGCGAAGAACCUUACCUGGGCUCGAAAUGUAGAGGACGAUAACAGAGAUGUUAUUUCCCGAAAGGGUCUCUAUAUAGGUGCUGCAUGGCUGUCGUCAGCUCGUGCCGUGAGGUGUUUGGUUAAGUCCAGCAACGAGCGCAACCCUUAUCGUUAGUUGCCAGCGCGUAAUGGCGGGAACUCUAAUGAGACUGCCUGGGUUAACCAGGAGGAAGGUGAGGAUGACGUCAAGUCCGCAUGGCCUUUAUGUCUGGGGCUACACACGUGCUACAAUGGUCGGUACAGAAGGCAGCAAGACCGCAAGGUGGAGCAAAUCCGUAAAGCCGAUCACAGUUCAGAUUGUAGUCUGCAACUCGACUACAUGAAGUUGGAAUUGCUAGUAAUGACGUGUCAGCAACAAC